UACGGAGGAUGCAAGCGUUAUCCGGAUUUAUUGGGUUUAAAAGGUGCGCAGGUUGUUUGAUAAGUCAGUGGUGAAAGUCUGUCGCUUAACGGUAGGAUUGCCAUUGAUACUGUUGGACUUGAAUAUGGAUGAGGUAGGCGGAAUGUGUAGUGUAGCGGUGAAAUGCAUAGAUAUUACACAGAACACCGAUUGCGAAGGCAGCUUACUAAUCCAUCAUUGACGCUGAGGCACGAAAGCGUGGGGAUCAAACA
rnacentral:rRNA from 1 species